UGGGGAAUAUUGCGCAAUGGGGGGAACCCUGACGCAGCCAUGCCGCGUGAAUGAAGAAGGCCUUAGGGUUGUAAAGUUCUUUCGGUAUUGAGGAAGGUUGAUGUGUUAAUAGCACAUCAAAUUGACGUUAAAUACAGAAGAAGCACCGGCUAACUCCGUGCCAGCAGCCGCGGUAAUACGGAGGGUGCGAGCGUUAAUCGGAAUAACUGGGCGUAAAGGGCACGCAGGCGGUUAUUUAAGUGAGGUGUGAAAGCCCCGGGCUUAACCUGGGAAUUGCAUUUCAGACUGGGUAACUAGAGUACUUUAGGGAGGGGUAGAAUUCCACGUGUAGCGGUGAAAUGCGUAGAGAUGUGGAGGAAUACCGAAGGCGAAGGCAGCCCCUUGGGAAUGUACUGACGCUCAUGUGCGAAAGCGUGGGGAGCAAACAGGAUUAGAUACCCUGGUAGUCCACGCUGUAAACGCUGUCGAUUUGGGGGUUGGGGUUUAACUCUGGCGCCCGUAGCUAACGUGAUAAAUCGACCGCCUGGGGAGCACGGCCGCAAGGUUA
rnacentral:rRNA from 1 species